UUCCUCAAAAGCACUGUGACUAGUUGGUUAAUAUUAAUCUUAUCUCAUAUGUUUUAUAAUUUUAAUAUCUUGUUUGCAGGUAGUUAUGUUGGGGAAAUAACUUUUUGAAUAGCCUUAUCCUUAAUGGCUCUUUUCAGAGCCAUUAUUUUACUUGAAGUUUGCUGCAAAAGAACUUAAUAGGAAUGCCAAGAAAUGUGAUAAAGAAGAAAAGGCUGAAAAGGCCAAGAUUAAAAGGCUAUUCAGAAAGGCAAUAAGGAAGCUGCAAGAAUACAUGCUGAAAAUGCAAUCCACCAGAAAAAUCAAGCAAUUGAUUUCUUAAGAAUGAGUGCUAGAGUUGGUGCUGUGGCAGUCAGAGUUCAAAAUGCAGUAACAAUGGGCAGGACUUCUGCCUUGAUGAACAAAUUCAAACACCAGUUUGAAACACUGGAUAUUCAAACACAACAAAUGGAAGAUAAAAUGAGUAGCUCUACAACCCUAAUAACACCACAACACCUAACAUGUGGUUAGUCAAAUGAAAAGAGAACUUGUUAUUACUACUUUGGAUGCUAAUAUGGAAAAAAAUAUGAUUUACCAAGUCGAUUAAGAAGAAAUCGACAGCUGUCCAUCAACAUUUUACCACAAACAGCUCUUUUCACAAAAAGAACCAAAUGGAUAUGCUGCUUCAGGAAAUGGCAGAUGAAGGUAGGUA